rnacentral:rRNA from 1 species
UACGUAGGGUGCGAGCGUUGUCCGGAAUUACUGGGCGUAAAGAGCUCGUAGGUGGUUUGUCGCGUUGUCCGUGAAAACUCACAACUCAAUUGUGGGCGUGCGGGCGAUACGGGGCAGACUGGAGUACUGCAGGGGAGACUGGAAUUCCUGGUGGUAGCGGUGGAAUGCGCAGAUAUCAGGAGGAACACCGGUGGCGAAGGCGGG